rnacentral:rRNA from 1 species
UACAGAGGGUGCAAGCGUUAUUCGGAAUCACUGGGCGUAAAGCGCAUGUAGGUGGACAUAAAAGUCAGUUGUGAAAUCCCGGGGCUCAACUUCGGAAAGGCAACUGAUACUGUAUGUCUUGAGAUUGGGAGAGGGAGAUAGAAUUCCAGGUGUAGAGGUGAAAUUCGUAGAUAUCUGGAGGAAUACCGGCGGCGAAGGCGGUUUCCUGGCCCAAGACUGACACUGAGAUGCGAGAGCGUGGGUAG